rnacentral:rRNA from 1 species
GAUGAACGCUGGCGGCGUGCCUAACACAUGCAAGUCGAGCGAUUUACUUCGGUAAAGAGCGGCGGACGGGUGAGUAACGCGUGGGUAACCUGCCCUGUACACACGGAUAACAUACCGAAAGGUAUGCUAAUACGGGAUAAUAUGCUUUAGUCGCAUGGCUGAAGUAUCAAAGCUCCGGCGGUACAGGAUGGACCCGCGUCUGAUUAGCUAGUUGGUAAGGCAACGGCUUACCAAGGCGACGAUCAGUAGCCGACCUGAGAGGGUGAUCGGCCACAUUGGAACUGAGACACGGUCCAGACUCCUACGGGAGGCAGCAGUGGGGAAUAUUGCACAAUGGGCGAAAGCCUGAUGCAGCAACGCCGCGUGAGCGAUGAAGGCCUUCGGGUCGUAAAGCUCUGUCGUCAAGGAAGAUAAUGACGGUACUUGAGGAGGAAGCCCCGGCUAACUACGUGCCAGCCGCCGCGGUAA